rnacentral:rRNA from 1 species
ACGGCUCAGUAACACGUGGAUAACCUGCCCUUGGGUCCGGCAUAACCCCGGGAAACUGGGGAUAAUUCCGGAUAACGCACAUAUGCUGGAAUGCUUUAUGCGUCAAAUGGAUUCGUCUGCCCAAGGAUGGGUCUGCGGCCUAUCAGGUAGUAGUGGGUGUAAUGUACCUACUAGCCGACGACGGGUACGGGUUGUGAGAGCAAGAGCCCGGAGAUGGAUUCUGAGACAUGAAUCCAGGCCCUACGGGGCGCAGCAGGCGCGAAAACUUUACAAUGCGGGAAACCGUAAUAAGGGGACACCGAGUGCCAGCAUCAUAUGCUGGCUGUCCGGGUGUGUAAAAUACACCUGUUAGCAAGGGCCGGGCAAGACCGGUGCCAGCCGCCGCGGUAACACCGGCGGCCCGAGUGGUGAUCGUGAUUAUUGGGUCUAAAGGGUCCGUAGCCGGUUUGGUCAGUCCUCCGGGAAAUCUGACGGCUUAACCGUUAGGCUUUCGGAGGAUACUGCCAGGCUUGGAACCGGGAGAGGUAAGAGGUACUACAGGGGUAGGAGUGAAAUCUUGUAAUCCCUGUGGGACCACCUGUGGCGAAGGCGUCUUACCAGAACGGGUUCGACGGUGAGGGACGAAAGCUGGGGGCACGAACCGGAUUAGAUACCCGGGUAGUCCCAGCCGUAAACGAUGCUCGCUAGGUGUCAGGCAUGGCGCGACCGUGUCUGGUGCCGCAGGGAAGCCGUGAAGCGAGCCACCUGGGAAGUACGGCCGCAAGGCUGAAACUUAAAGGAAUUGGCGGGGGAGCAC